rnacentral:rRNA from 1 species
GUGGGGAAUCUUAGACAAUGGGGGAAACCCUGAUCUAGCCAUGCCGCGUGAGCGAUGAAGGCCUUAGGGUUGUAAAGCUCUUUCAGAUGGGAAGAUAAUGACGGUACCAUCAGAAGAAGCCCCGGCUAACUCCGUGCCAGCAGCCGCGGUAAUACGGAGGGGGCUAGCGUUGUUCGGAAUUACUGGGCGUAAAGCGCACGUAGGCGGACCAGAAAGUCAGAGGUGAAAUCCCAGGGCUCAACCUUGGAACUGCCUUUGAAACUCCUGGUCUUGAGGUCGAGAGAGGUGAGUGGAAUUCCGAGUGUAGAGGUGAAAUUCGUAGAUAUUCGGAGGAACACCAGUGGCGAAGGCGGCUCACUGGCUCGAUACUGACGCUGAGGUGCGAAAGCGUGGGGAGCAAACAGGAUUAGAUACCCCAGUAGUCC